UACGGAGGGUGCGAGCGUUGUCCGGAAUCACUGGGCGUAAAGGGCGCGUAGGCGGCUUGGGAAGUCCGUGGUGAAAGCCCGAGGCUCAACUUCGGGUCGGCCAUGGAUACUCCUAAGCUCGAGUCGACUAGAGGCUAAUGGAAUUCCGGGUGUAGCGGUGGAAUGCGUAGAGAUCCGGAAGAACACCGGUGGCGAAGGCGGCCUGCUGGGCAGUAGCUGACGCUGAUGCGCGACAGCGUGGGGGGCAAACAGG
rnacentral:rRNA from 1 species